GCGGGGGAAGGGGCAGCCAGCGCCUCGGGCCCAUUCGCGAUCCUCGGGCGACCUCUGGCGGCCGGCGCGCGCAUGGCCUCAGGAGAAUCCCCACCGAGGCCGAGCUCGCCCCAGGCGGCCAUUUCACUUUGUGGACAGUCGCAUUUUCCCGGCGGGCACUGCGACCGAGUUCGGGGCUUCAAGAAAUGGCGGCGUGCGCAGGCGUACUCACUACGGGCGGGUGCUAGCCGAGGUGCACAGGCGCGCACGCGUCGCGUACGCUGGUGGCUAGUGCGCAUUCGCACAGGCGCAGUCCCUGCUACCCAGACUCCCGGAGCAUGAGAGAACCUGCCUCCCCCGGGCAGCUUACCUUCCUCUCUCAGAGCCGAUGUCUACUGCAGCCAAGCCUUCAGGCCAGGAGCCCGUGGCUCCGGAUCCCACGUUGCCAUCACUCAACUGUUCACUUGACCUGUUACGAGAAAUAUUCAUUAAAGACCUGCACUACCCUAGGCACUGGGGGAACAGCGGGAACAGGACCAUCCUGGCCCCAGCUGCAUCCAUUGACAUUGCACCAGAGGCCAUGGAAGUCCUUCAGCUGGGUGUAUGUGGGCUCCAUGUUCUGGGAAUGAAGUGUCUGCUUC